CUAGGGUCUGCAAGAAAGGGGUCGCGGCCCUCUCUCUCCCAGCACUGCAUGUCAGGAAGGCUGCCAUACCAGUUGAACCAUUCCACCUGAUCCAGGCGAGAGAUCUCUUGCGAUUUCCCAGCGGGUUGACCCCUCUCCCUCUCUGCAAGCUGAGUUUCAACCCUCCCUCCUUUUGAAAGCAAAGCUGCUGUUUUGCAACAAACUGAAAAUAACUAAGCACAAGGGAGGGGAAAUGCACAAUGAAUGGAAAACGCUUAAAGGAACCAUAAGACGUGACCCUGUGUGCUUCCAGAUGGAGAACUCCCACCACUACCAACCAAACCAGAACGUGCAGCUUCCGUCUUUUCCUCCUUAGGGUGCAAGCCUAUAGCCCUUCUGAGUCCAGAGGCAUCUGUGUAUCCAGUGCUCUGUGGGGCUGAAACUGACAGGAGGGGAGUAUCAUAGAAUCAUAGAAUAGUAGAGUUGGAAGGGGCCUAAAGGCCAUCGAGUCCAACCCCCUGCUCAAUGCAGGGACGAUCUUCCCAUUCCUGUUCUCUGACACUCAUUUUUCACUAUACCGCACUUCACAGCAGGAGGGGAAGAGGCCGGGAAAACCCUCAAAGGCCUGGGCCUGGAUGGACAAUACGUCAGUUUCACUCUCCCCCCAUUCAAAUGUUUCCAAUCUCACAUUCUUCUUCCCAUCCUGAAAAUAAAGACAUUUGCAAA